rnacentral:rRNA from 1 species
GAACGCUGGCGGCGUGCCUAAUACAUGCAAGUCGAACGCACAGCGAAAGGUGCUUGCACCUUUCAAGUGAGUGGCGAACGGGUGAGUAACACGUGGACAACCUGCCUCAAGGCUGGGGAUAACAUUUGGAAACAGAUGCUAAUACCGAAUAAAACUUAGUGUCGCAUGACACAAAGUUAAAAGGCGCUUCGGCGUCACCUAGAGAUGGAUCCGCGGUGCAUUAGUUAGUUGGUGGGGUAAAGGCCUACCAAGACAAUGAUGCAUAGCCGAGUUGAGAGACUGAUCGGCCACAUUGGGACUGAGACACGGCCCAAACUCCUACGGGAGGCUGCAGUAGGGAAUCUUCCACAAUGGGCGAAAGCCUGAUGGAGCAACGCCGCGUGUGUGAUGAAGGCUUUCGGGUCGUAAAGCACUGUUGUAUGGGAAGAACAGCUAGAAUAGGAAAUGAUUUUAGUUUGACGGUACCAUACCAGAAAGGGACGGCUAAAUACGUGCCAGCAGCCGCGGUAAUACGUAUGUCCCGAGCGUUAUCCGGAUUUAUUGGGCGUAAAGCGAGCGCAGACGGUUUAUUAAGUCUGAUGUGAAAGCCCGGAGCUCAACUCCGGAAUGGCAUUGGAAACUGGUUAACUUGAGUGCAGUAGAGGUAAGUGGAACUCCAUGUGUAGCGGUGGAAUGCGUAGAUAUAUGGAAGAACACCAGUGGCGAAGGCGGCUUACUGGACUGCAACUGACGUUGAGGCUCGAAAGUGUGGGUAGCAAACAGGAUUAGAUACCCUGGUAGUCCACACCGUAAACGAUGAACACUAGGUGUUAGGAGGUUUCCGCCUCUUAGUGCCGAAGCUAACGCAUUAAGUGUUCCGCCUGGGGAGUACGACCGCAAGGUUGAAACUCAAAGGAAUUGACGGGGACCCGCACAAGCGGUGGAGCAUGUGGUUUAAUUCGAAGCAACGCGAAGAACCUUACCAGGUCUUGACAUCCUUUGAAGCUUUUAGAGAUAGAAGUGUUCUCUUCGGAGACAAAGUGACAGGUGGUGCAUGGUCGUCGUCAGCUCGUGUCGUGAGAUGUUGGGUUAAGUCCCGCAACGAGCGCAACCCUUAUUGUUAGUUGCCAGCAUUCAGAUGGGCACUCUAGCGAGACUGCCGGUGACAAACCGGAGGAAGGCGGGGACGACGUCAGAUCAUCAUGCCCCUUAUGACCUGGGCUACACACGUGCUACAAUGGCGUAUACAACGAGUUGCCAACCCGCGAGGGUGAGCUAAUCUCUUAAAGUACGUCUCAGUUCGGAUUGUAGUCUGCAACUCGACUACAUGAAGUCGGAAUCGCUAGUAAUCGCGGAUCAGCACGCCGCGGUGAAUACGUUCCCGGGUCUUGUACACACCGCCCGUCACACCAUGGGAGUUUGUAAUGCCCAAAGCCGGUGGCCUAACCUUUUAGGAAGGAGCCGUCUAAGGCAGGACAGAUGACUGGGGU